rnacentral:rRNA from 1 species
GACGAACGCUGGCGGCGUGCUUAACACAUGCAAGUCGAGCGGUAAGGCCCUUUCGGGGUACGACGAGCGGCGAACGGGUGAGUAACACGUGGGUGACCUGCCCUCCAGCUCUGGGAUAAGCCUGGGAAACCGGGUCGUAAUACCGGAUAUGACUCCAUGACGCAUGUUGUGGGGUGGAAAGCCUUGUGCGGCUGAGGAUGGGCCCGCGGCCUAUCAGCUUGUUGGUGAGGUGAUGGCCUACCAAGGCGACGACGGGUAGCCGG